UACGAACCGUCCAAACGUUACUCGGAAUCACUGGGCUUAAAGGGUGCGUAGGCCGCGCGGAGGGUGGGAUGUGAAAUCCCCCGGCUCAACCGGGGAAUAGCGUCCCAAACCGCCGUGCUCGAGGGAGACAGAGGUGAGCGGAACUGAUGGUGGAGCGGUGAAAUGCGUAGAUAUCCGGAGGAAUACCAGUGGCGAAGGCGGCUUCUUGGCCUGUUCUUGACGCUGAGGCGCGAAGGUCAGGGGAGCAAACGGG
rnacentral:rRNA from 1 species